UGCAGUCGAGCGGGGAAGGGUAGCUUGCUACCUGACCUAGCGGCGGACGGGUGAGUAAUGCUUAGGAAUCUGCCUAUUAGUGGGGGACAACAUUCCGAAAGGAAUGCUAAUACCGCAUACGCCCUACGGGGGAAAGCAGGGGAUCUUCGGACCUUGCGCUAAUAGAUGAGCCUAAGUCAGAUUAGCUAGUUGGUGGGGUAAAGGCCUACCAAGGCGACGAUCUGUAGCGGGUCUGAGAGGAUGAUCCGCCACACUGGGACUGAGACACGGCCCAGACUCCUACGGGAGGCAGCAGUGGGGAAUAUUGGACAAUGGGCGCAAGCCUGAUCCAGCCAUGCCGCGUGUGUGAAGAAGGCCUUUUGGUUGUAAAGCACUUUAAGCGAGGAGGAGGCUACUUAGAUUAAUACUCUAGGAUAGUGGACGUUACUCGCAGAAUAAGCACCGGCUAACUCUGUGCCAGCAGCCGCGGUAAUACAGAGGGUGCGAGCGUUAAUCGGAUUUACUGGGCGUAAAGCGUGCGUAGGCGGCUUUUUAAGUCGGAUGUGAAAUCCCUGAGCUUAACUUAGGAAUUGCAUUCGAUACUGGGAAGCUAGAGUAUGGGAGAGGAUGGUAGAAUUCCAGGUGUAGCGGUGAAAUGCGUAAGAUCUGGAGGAAUACCGAUGGCGAAGGCGGCCAUCUGGCCUAAUACUGACGCUGAGGUACGAAAGCAUGGGGGAGCAAACAGGAUUAGAUACUCUGGGAGUCCAUGCCGUAAACGAUGUCUACUAUUCGUUGGGGCCUUUGAGGCUUUA
rnacentral:rRNA from 1 species